GGGCCGGUAGCUCAGUUAGGGAGAGCGACGGACUCUUAAUCCGUCGGUCGAGGGUUCAAAUCCCUUCCGGCCCGC
rnacentral:tRNA from 1 species